CCUUCGAUAGCUCAGUUGUAGAGCGGAGGGACUGAGGGUGUUAAAAUUGUCAUCCUUAGGCUCGCUGGUUCAAAUCCGGCUCGAAGGA
rnacentral:tRNA from 1 species